rnacentral:lncRNA from 1 species
AUAAUGAACCGUGUCCCUCUGAACUCAUCAGGAAAGAAGCCAAGGUGUCACAUCCUAGAGGGGCCCAGAGCCUGGGUUAGACUCUCUCCUAACUCCUUUGCUUAAAGUAGAGACUGAGACUUGAGUCUACAGUGAGAGUAAGUUGUAGGAGCCCUCCAGAAUUUGUUGUCCUCUGGUUCCUCUCCUCCAGUGAGAAAAGCCAUGCUGCAACCAUCCAGAGAAGCCUCGGCAGCUUGGGGAGGUUGCUGUAACAACUUUUGCUGGAAAAAAAAAAAAGCCAUGGAAAUCCUGGGCCUGGUUUCCCUUUGGAUUAAAAUAAAUGUUAAGUGCAAAGCCAAGGACCUGCUAUUGAUGAAAUACCUUGAAUUCCCCUUUCACAAGCAGCCACUGGGGGCGCUACUGAACAAAUCCCACUGACUUCCACUGGUUCCGAGAGGAACACCAGGAACCACACUGGAAAAAGCAAAUUACAGACAAAUGAUGAAAUCGCCACCUUGCCAAAGAUGAUAAAUAGCUUUGUUCUGACCUGGGGAGGUCACCUUUCUGGAGAUGAAGGAUGGAUACUGUCUUGUCAGUAGAGAUGAGUUCUGGAUGCAUAAGACUGCACAACACCAUCUUACACCUUAUUCUUGUGUUUGUGGGUGGGGCUCAAGUGUCUGCCACUUGUGUUCAGGUUCCUGACAAGCAGAGGGCAUCAGAUCUCCUAGAGCUGUUGUCACAGGCACUUGUGAGCUACCCGCUAUGGUGUCGGGAACCACACUUGGUCCUCUGAAGAGCAUCAAGAACAAUUAGCCCCUGAGCCAUCUCCCCAACCCCUCUUCUUUUUAACUGGUGUACAGUGUCCCCACAAUCCUGCUGUCCAGUACUGUUCUUUGCAAGAAACAAAAGGUCCCCAUUCCAACUUGUGGAAGAUGGACAGUGGAGGCUGUCUGAAGUGAUCAGAGCAGCUUCCUCUCCUUAUUUGAAUGGAUGACAUUGCCAUGUAAAUUUAAUAUGUAC